rnacentral:ncRNA from 1 species
CCUCGAAAAAGGCACACUUAUUGAAAGAUAAGGUCGCAAAGCUAUGAGUCUACGGCAUAGUAUUUAUGAUGCUAUGAUGGUCAGGUUACCGAA